GUAUGGGAGGGGGAGAUGGAAUUAGUGGUGUAGGGGUAAAAUCCGUAGAUAUCACUAGGAAUACCGAAAGCGAAGGCGAUCUCCUGGAACAAUACUGACGCUAAGGCGUGAAAGCGUGGGGAGCAAACGGGAUUAGAUACCCCGGUAGUCCACGCCCUAAACGAUGAACACUAGUCGUCGGGAUGCUAGUCAUCUCGGUGAUGCACUUAACAGAUUAAGUGUUCCGCCUGGGGAGUACGGUCGCAAGAUUAAAACUCAAAGGAAUAGACGGGGACCCGCACAAGUGGUGGAGCAUGUGGUUUAAUUCGAAGAUACGCGAAGAACCUUACCUAGCCUUGACAUAUUUAAGAACUCCGUAGAGAUACAGAGGUGCCUUCGGGAGCUUUCUUACAGGUGCUGCACGGCUGUCGUCAGCUCGUGUCGUGAGAUGUUGGGUUAAGUCCCGCAACGAGCGCAACCCUCGUCACUAGUUACUAACGGUUCGGCCGAGGACUCUAGUGAGACUGCCUUCGUAAGGAGGAGGAAGGUGAGGACGACGUCAAGUCAUCAUGGCCCUUACGGCUAGGGCAACACACGUGCUACAAUGGCCAGGACAGUGAGACGCGAUACCGUGAGGUGGAGCAAAUCUAUAAACCUGGUCUCAGUUCGGAUUGUAGUCUGCAACUCGACUACAUGAAGCUGGAAUCACUAGUAAUCGUAGAUCAGCUAUGCUACGGUGAAUACGUUCCCGGGUCUUGUACUCACCGCCCGUCACACCAUGGGAGUUGAUUUCACCCGAAGCGGGGAAGCUAAACUGGCUACCCUCCACGGUGGAAUUAGCGACUGGGGUGAAGUCGUAACAAGGUAACC
rnacentral:rRNA from 1 species